rnacentral:rRNA from 1 species
CACGUAGGGGACGAGCGUUGUCCGGAUUCAUUGGGCGUAAAGCGCGCGUAGGCGGCUCGGAAAGUCGGUCGUGAAAUGCCGGGGCUCAACCCCGGGACUGCGUCCGAUACUCCCGAGCUGGAGGCAGGUAGGGGAGAUCGGAAUUCCUGGUGUAGCGGUGAAAUGCGUAGAUAUCGAGAGGAACACCAGUGGCGAAGGCGGGUCUCUAGCCAGUUCCUGACGCUGAGGCACGAAAGCCAGGGUAGCAAACGGG